UCCUCGGUAGUAUUGUGGUGAGUAUCCCCGCCUGUCACGCAGGAGACCGGGGUUUGAUUCCCCGCCGGGGAG
rnacentral:tRNA from 1 species